rnacentral:rRNA from 1 species
UGCUGGAGGUAUCAGAAGUGCGAAUGCUGACAUAAGUAACGAUAAAGCGGGUGAAAAGCCCGCUCGCCGGAAGACCAAGGGUUCCUGUCCAACGUUAAUCGGGGCAGGGUGAGUCGACCCCUAAGGCGAGGCCGAAAGGCGUAGUCGAUGGGAAACGGGUUAAUAUUCCCGUACUUGGUGUUACUGCGAAGGGGGGACGGAGAAGGCUAUGUUGGCCGGGCGACGGUUGUCCCGGUUUAAGCGUGUAGGCUGGUUUUCCAGGCAAAUCCGGAACUUUAACACUGAGGCGUGACGACGAGGCACUACGGUGCUGAAGCAACAAAUGCCCUGCUUCCAGGAAAAGCCUCUAAGCAUCAGGUAACAUCAAAUCGUACCCCAAACCGACACAGGUGGUCAGGUAGAGAAUACCAAGGCGCUUGAGAGAACUCGGGUGAAGGAACUAGGCAAAAUGGUGCCGUAACUUCGGGAGAAGGCACGCUGACACGUAGGUGAAGUGAUUUACUCAUGGAGCUGAAGUCAGUCGAAGAUACCAGCUGGCUGCAACUGUUUAUUAAAAACACAGCACUGUGCAAACACGAAAGUGGACGUAUACGGUGUGACGCCUGCCCGGUGCCGGAAGGUUAAUUGAUGGGGUCAGCGCAAGCGAAGCUCCUGAUCGAAGCCCCGGUAAACGGCGGCCGUAACUAUAACGGUCCUAAGGUAGCGAAAUUCCUUGUCGGGUAAGUUCCGACCUGCACGAAUGGCGUAAUGAUGGCCAGGCUGUCUCCACCCGAGACUCAGUGAAAUUGAACUCGCUGUGAAGAUGCAGUGUACCCGCGGCAAGACGGAAAGACCCCGUGAACCUUUACUAUAGCUUGACACUGAACAUUGAGCCUUGAUGUGUAGGAUAGGUGGGAGGCUUUGAAGUGUGGACGCCAGUCUGCAUGGAGCCGACCUUGAAAUACCACCCUUUAAUGUUUGAUGUUCUAACGUGGACCCGUAAUCCGGGUUGCGGACAGUGUCUGGUGGGUAGUUUGACUGGGGCGGUCUCCUCCUAAAGAGUAACGGAGGAGCACGAAGGUUGGCUAAUCCUGGUCGGACAUCAGGAGGUUAGUGCAAUGGCAUAAGCCAGCUUGACUGCGAGCGUGACGGCGCGAGCAGGUGCGAAAGCAGGUCAUAGUGAUCCGGUGGUUCUGAAUGGAAGGGCCAUCGCUCAACGGAUAAAAGGUACUCCGGGGAUAACAGGCUGAUACCGCCCAAGAGUUCAUAUCGACGGCGGUGUUUGGCACCUCGAUGUCGGCUCAUCACAUCCUGGGGCUGAAGUAGGUCCCAAGGGUAUGGCUGUUCGCCAUUUAAAGUGGUACGCGAGCUGGGUUUAGAACGUCGUGAGACAGUUCGGUCCCUAUCUGCCGUGGGCGCUGGAGAACUGAGGGGGGCUGCUCCUAGUACGAGAGGACCGGAGUGGACGCAUCACUGGUGUUCGGGUUGUCAUGCCAAUGGCACUGCCCGGUAGCUAAAUGCGGAAGAGAUAAGUGCUGAAAGCAUCUAAGCACGAAACUUGCCCCGAGAUGAGUUCUCCCUGAGACU